rnacentral:rRNA from 1 species
UACGAAGGGGGCUAGCGUUGCUCGGAAUCACUGGGCGUAAAGCGCACGUAGGCGGACUCUUAAGUCGGUGGUGAAAUCCUGGAGCUCAACUCCAGAACUGCCUUCGAUACUGAGAGUCUCGAGUCCGGGAGAGGUGAGUGGAACUGCGAGUGUAGAGGUGAAAUUCGUAGAUAUUCGCAAGAACACCAGUGGCGAAGGCGGCUCACUGGCCCGGUACUGACGCUGAUGCGCGAAAGCCAGGGGAGCGAACGGG